GACGGGGGGGGCAAGUGUUCUUCGGAAUGACUGGGCGUAAAGGGCACGUAGGCGGUGAAUCGGGUUGAAAGUGAAAGUCGCCAAAAAGUGGCGGAAUGCUCUCGAAACCAAUUCACUUGAGUGAGGCAGAGGAGAGUGGAAUUUCGUGUGUAGGGGUGAAAUCCGUAAAUAUACGAAGGAACGCCAAAAGCGAAGGCAGCUCUCUGGGACGGUACUGACGCUGAGACGCGAAAGCGUGGGGAGCGAACAGG
rnacentral:rRNA from 1 species